rnacentral:rRNA from 1 species
CAGUAGCCACGGUAAUGCGUAGGUGGCAAGCGUUGUCCGGAAUUAUUGGGCGUAAAGGGCUCGCAGGCGGUUUCUUAAGUCUGAUGUGAAAGCCCCCGGCUCAACCGGGGAGGGUCAUUGGAAACUGGAAAACUUGAGUGCAGAAGAGGAGAGUGGAAUUCCACGUGUAGCGGUGAAAUGCGUAGAGAUGUGGAGGAACACCAGUGGCGAAGGCGACUCUCUGGUCUGUAACUGACGCUGAGGAGCGAAAGCGUGGGGAGCGAACAGGAUUAGAUACCCCAGUAGUCCCUGUCUCUUAUAC